AUUGAACGCUGGCGGAAUGCUUUACACAUGCAAGUCAAACGGCAGCACGGGAGCUUGCUCCUGGUGGCGAGGGGCGAACGGGUGAGUAAUGUAUCGAAACGUACCCAGUCGGGGGGAAUAACUAUCCAAAAGGAUAGCUAAUACCGCAUACGUCCUGAGGGAAAAAGCGGGGGAUCGCAAAACCUCGCGCGAUUGGAGCGGCCGAUAUCGAAUUACCUAGUUGGUGGGGUAAAGGCUCACCAAGGCAACAAUCCGUAGCGGGUCUGAAAGGACAACCCGCCACACUGGAACUGAAACACGGUCCAAACUCCUACGGGAGGCAGCAGUGGGGAAUUUUGGACAAUGGGGGCAACCCUGAUCCACCCAUUCCGCGUGAGUGAAAAAGGCCUUCGGGUUGUAAAGCUCUUUCAGCAGGAACAAAACGGUCGGUUUUAAUAAAGUCGGCUAAUGACGGUACCUGCAAAAAAAGCACCGGCUAACUACGUG
rnacentral:rRNA from 1 species